rnacentral:rRNA from 1 species
UACGAAGGGUGCAAGCGUUACUCGGAAUUACUGGGCGUAAAGCGUGCGUAGGUGGUUUGUUAAGUCUGAUGUGAAAGCCCUGGGCUCAACCUGGGAAUGGCACUGGAUACUGGCAAGCUAGAGUGUGGCAGAGGGUAGUGGAAUUCCUGGUGUAGCAGUGAAAUACGUAGAUAUCUGGAAGAACACCAGUGGCGAAGGCGGUCUCUUGGUCCUAUACUGACGCUAAGGCGCGAAAGCGUGGGGAGCAAAC